UCCCACUUGUGUCCUAAUCGGAUGGUGUC
rnacentral:piRNA from 1 species